UACGUAGGGUGCGAGCGUUAAUCGGAAUUACUGGGCGUAAAGCGUGCGCAGGCGGCUUUGCAAGACAGAUGUGAAAUCCCCGGGCUCAACCUGGGAACUGCAUUUGUGACUGCAAGGCUAGAGUACGGCAGAGGGGGAUGGAAAUCCGCGUGUAGCAGUGAAAUGCGUAGAUAUGCGGAGGAACACCAAUGGCGAAGGCAAUCCCCUGGGCCUGUACUGACGCUCAUGCACGAAAGCGUGGGGAGCAAACAGG
rnacentral:rRNA from 1 species